rnacentral:tRNA from 1 species
UCCCUCCUGGCUCAGCUGGUAAAGAACCCACCUGCAAUGUGGGAGACCAGGGUUUGACCCCUGGGUUGGGA